rnacentral:rRNA from 1 species
GUUAUCUAGGUGGCAGAAGGCGGGUGAAUACGUAGGUGGAGAGGGGUGUCCGUAUGGAUUGGGCGUAAAGGGCGGGCAGGCGGUCGGGCAAGUCCGAGGUGAAAUCUCCCGGCUCAACUGGGAGGGGUGUUCGGAUACUGGUCGACGUGAGGAGAGCAGAGGUGAGUGGAAUUCUCGGUGUAGUGGUGAAAUGCGUAGAUAUCGAGAGGAACACCAGCGGCGAAGGCGGCUCACUGGGCUCUACCUGACGCUGAGGCGCGAAAGCGUGGGGAGCGAACCGGAUUAGAUACCCCUGUAGUC